UACGUAGGGUGCGAGCGUUGUCCGGAAUUACUGGGCGUAAAGGGCUCGUAGGUGGCCAACUAAGUCAGACGUGAAAUCCCUCGGCUUAACCGGGGAACUGCGUCUGAUACUGGAUGGCUUGAGUUUGGGAGAGGGAUGCGGAAUUCCAGGUGUAGCGGUGAAAUGCGUAGAUAUCUGGAGGAACACCGGUGGCGAAGGCGGCAUCCUGGACCAACACUGACACUGAGGAGCGAAAGCCAGGGGAGCAAACGGG
rnacentral:rRNA from 1 species